GAAUGAAGAGGAAAUAUGGGAAAAUUUAUGGAAUUACUUCAAGAGAUUGGCUCUAGGUCAAGACGAGGACAUCGUUCCACCGCUAUCAGAGACCUACCGCUGUAAUUACUUUGGGAGUCCGUCUUAACCCUUGAUGCUUACCCUUCAAUUUUCAACCUCAGUAUGCCCAGACUCCUAGACCAAGCUCAUGCAUUUAUGUGAAGUUUUGUUAAGAUUUUGGC